UGUCUGACUUGUGUGUGUGACUCCAUAGGUUCAAACACUAAGCCGGUAGCAUAGGAACCAAUUCCUGCACUAAUCAGGAUACCAUCUAGAAAUGGUUUCCAACAUCCAGAUAGGUCGAAUUAUCGCAAAAAAAUAUUUCAAAAUCCAUACAUAUGGUUACUGCGUAAUUCAUUCUUGUGACCCUAGAUGCUCUAGGAUGGUCUCAGGUUAACUGUCAUCAAUCGAGAUUGC
rnacentral:lncRNA from 1 species